rnacentral:rRNA from 1 species
UACGGGGGGAGCAAGCGUUGUUCGGAUUUACUGGGCGUAAAGGGCGCGUAGGCGGUCAGCACAAGUCAGUUGUGAAAUCUCCGGGCUUAACUCGGAAAGGUCAACUGAUACUGUGCGACUAGAGUGCGGAAGGGGCAACUGGAAUUCUCGGUGUAGCGGUGAAAUGCGUAGAUAUCGAGAGGAACACCCAGGGGGAAACCAGCCGACUGGGCAAGUGCUGACGCUGAGGUGCGAGAGCGUGGGGAGCGAACCGG